CCGGUGCGGCGCGGGUCCCCCAUAUGCUGAGCGCCGGUCCCCUGGGCCCACUUUUCUUUCUCUAUACUUUGUCUCUGUGUCUUUCUUUUCUCAAGUCUCUCGUUCCACCUGAGGAGAAAUGCCCACAGCUGUGGAGGCGCAGGCCACUCCUUCAUCUGGUGCCCAACGUGGGUGCUUUCUCUAGGGUGAAGGGACGCUCGAGUGUGGUCAUUGAGGACAAGUCAACGAGAGAUUCCCGAGUACGUCUACUGAGCCUUGUGUCUCUCAUCCCUCCUGACGAGAAAUAGCCACAGGUGUGGAGGGGCUGGCCAAUGUGGGUGCCUUUCUCUAGGGUGAAGGUACUCUACAGCGUGGUCAUUGAGGACAAGUCGACGAGAGAGUCCCAAGUACGUCCACGGUCAGCCUUGCGACAUUUAAAGUUCUACAAUGAACUCACUGGAGAUGCAAAGAAAAGUGUGGAGAUGGAGACACCCCAAUCGACUCGCCAGUCUACCGGUGUAUCCAGCAGCUCCAAAGAGACAGCAACCAGCAAGAAUGGGCCAUAAUGACGAUGGUGGUUUUGUCAAAAAGAAAAGGGGGGGAUAUGUAAGGAAAAGAGAGAUCAGACUGUCACUGUGUCUAUGUAGAAAAGGAAGACAUAAGAAACUCCAUUUUGAUCUGUACUAAGAAAAAUUGUUUUGCCUUGAGAUGCUGUUAAUCUGUAACUUUAGCCCCAACCCUGUGCUGUAAGGUUUAAGGGAUCUAGGGCUGUGCAGGAUGUACCUUGUUAACAAUAUGUUUGCAGGCAGUAUGCUUGGUAAAAGUCAUUGCCAUUCUCCAUUCUCGAUUAACCAGGGGCUCAAUGCACUGUGGAGAGCCACAGGAAACUCUGCCCAAGAAAGCCUGGCUGUUGUGGGAAGUGAGGGACCCUGAACGGAGGGACCAGCUGGUCCUGCAUCAGGAAACAUAAAUUGUGAAGAUUUCUUGGACAUUUAUCAGUUUCCAAAAUUAAUACUUUUAUAAUUUCUUACACCUGUCUUACUUUAAUCUCUUAAUCCUGUUAUCUUUGUAAGCUGAGGAUAUACGUCACCUCAGGACCACUAUUGGACAAAUUGAUUGUAAAACAUGUUCACAUGUGUUUGAACAAUAUGAAAUCAGUGCACCUUGAAAAUGAACAGAAUAACAGUGAUUUUAGGGAACAAGGGAAGACAACCAUAAGGUCUGACUGCCUGAGGGGUUGGGCAAAAAGCCAUAUUUUUCUUCUUGCAGAGAGCCUAUAAAUGGACGUGCAAGUAGGAGAGAUACUGCUAAAUUCUUUUCCUAGCAAGGAAUAUAAUAUUAAGACCCUAGGGAAAGAAUUGCAUUCUUGGGGGGAGGUCUAUAAAUGGCCGCUCUGGGAGUGUCUGUCCUAUGUGGUUGAGAUAAGGACUGAAAUACGCCCUGGUCUCCUGCAGUACCCUCAGGCUUACUAGGAUUGGGAAACCCCAGUCCUGGUAAAUUUGAGGUCAGGCCGGUUCUUUGCUCUGAACCCUGUUUUCUGUUAAGAUGUUUAUCAAGACAAUACAUGCACCGCUGAACAUAGACCCUUAUCAGGAGUUUCUGAUUUUGCUCUGGUCCUGUUUCCUCAGAAGCAUGUCAUCUUUGCUCUGCCUUUUGCCCUUUGAAGCAUGUGAUCUUUGUGACCUACUCCCUGUUCAUACACCCCUCCCCUUUUAAAAUCCCUAAUAAAAACUUGCUGGUUUUGUGGCUCAGGGGGGCAUCAUGGACCUACCAAUAUGUGAUGUCACCCCCGGUGGCCCGGCUGUAAAAUUCCUUUCUUUGCACUCUUAUUUCUCAGACCAGCUUAGGGAAAAUAGAAAGAACCUAUAUUGAAAUA